GCUGCUUCCCAGCUCCAGCCAUAAAAAUCGAGUCGCGUAGAAGAAACACGUGACUGAUGACAAUAAAAAUAAAAAUCGAAGGCCUCAACGAGUCAGGGAACCGGAAUUUCACCCUCGAUGCUCAACAGCAAAUACGAGGAAGCAUACAACGUCAAAAAAAGUUACUCAAAAGCGUAGCAAGCAGACCAAGAAACAUAUCAAGAUCUUCGAGAGGAAAAAAUAAGCUGGGCAAGCAACACGCUUGGUUCAACCGCUCUGAUUAGACAAUGAGACUUGACAAUGUUCACAAAGGAAGCCCACGAGGUUUAACCGGCCUGUCACAGAUAGCUUUUUUUUUUUUAGAACAAACCUGUCACAGAUAUAGCUUUCCGUCUCAGAAGGUGUACGUCAGCCCAAACACGACCCAGGCCCAAUAUACUAGUGAGCUCCGUGCUUCCAUGAACCAAGUUUGCCCCGGCCCAAUAUAGCACUGAGCUCCGUGCUUCCGUGAACCAAGUUAAACCGGACAGGAUUUGGGCUAGGCCGCCGCUUUAAAAGUUCGAGGCGUUAAGGCUUCAUUUCCUCUCGCUCAAAGUUCGAGGCGUUUUGGUUGAUAGCAUUCGGCCUUCCCUUUGUCAAUCUAGUCAUCAUAGUUAUCUGUUGAAGAUUUAUGGAGAAGAUUUUUUUUUUGGAAGAUUUCAAUGUAAUUCUUAGUUAUAAGAGUUACUUUGUAGUUUUGCGGAAUUUUAUCUAAAACAAUGUACCUAUAAUGGACGUUGAGUUUGAAUAAAAUUACAGGUGAUUCUAAAAAAAUACUAUCAAAGAUUUUUCCAUCUUUGUGUACUUAUACAUAUCUAAAUAUUCAGAGGUAGCCUUUUCCAAACACGCAGAAACCCUAGCCACCACGAAAAAAUCCUAGCCACCGUUUUUGGAGGAAGUUCUACUAGUAUUUCUAUCUUUU
rnacentral:lncRNA from 1 species